rnacentral:rRNA from 1 species
UGACAGGUGGUGCAUGGUUGUCGUCAGUUCGUGUCGUGAGAUGUUGGGUUAAGUCCCGCAACGAGCGCAACCCUCGACCUUAGUUGCCAGCAUUCAGUUGGGCACUCUAAGGUGACUGCCGGCUAAAAGUCGGAGGAAGGUGGGGAUGACGUCAAGUCAUCAUGCCCCUUAUGACCUGGGCUACACACGUGCUACAAUGGGCGGUACAAAGGGUCGCGAACCCGCGAGGGGGAGCCAAUCCCAAAAAGCCGCUCUCAGUUCGGAUUGCAGGCUGCAACUCGCCUGCAUGAAGCCGGAAUCGCUAGUAAUCGCGGAUCAGCAUGCCGCGGUGAAUACGUUCCCGGGCCUU